rnacentral:lncRNA from 1 species
GGGGCAGUCUAGCUGAAUCACUUGUGCCGCCUGGCCUUGGACCCAGCUCUGCUUAGGAAGGUGACAGGACACUUCUCCUCUCUAACCAUGUCGGAUCCCAACGCAGGACAGCCUUGUGCCUACCCCGGAGCGGCCUUCCCUCCCAACCCCAUGUACCCACCUGGCUCCAAUCCUGCCUACCCUCCCCCUGUGAACCCUGCUUUCCCCCCAGGCACAGUGCCCCCUGGCUCCUAUCCCACCCCUCCAGUGGGGGUUCCAGGGCAGCCUGCAUACCCGCCCGGCCACCCCAUUCAACCCCCUUUCCCCGGCCAGCAGCCUUGCUACCCUCUGGGUCCCUACCCACCACCUGCUCCUGGAAUGCCUGGGGGGAUGUGUAUUAAUCCCCUGAUGCCUGGGACCGUCGUGGUCGGGACCCAAGUGCUGGACAAGAAGGCGGCGAAGAAGAUGAGGAAGAAGAUGAAGAAGGCUCACAAGGUGCACAAGCCACACAAGCUGCACAAGCAUGGAAAGCAUUCCUCUUCCUCCUCCUCCUCCUCCUCCAGCAGCAGCGACUGACUGAGGCUUCCCUCCGCCUUCCAGCCACGCAUGCUUCCCACAGACCAGACAAUGAUCUUCCCCUGCUACAACCAAGCCACUGGCUGACUGGACUGAUGCCAGCCACCUCCCUAACAGCCUGUAUAAUAGGGCUCGGGACAGAGGCUAAAAUCCCCAGAAAAGACCAUGGCACAGAACAGGGAGCCCUGGUGAGCCAUACGCUAAUCUGGAUGUCACUGAUCGAAUGAUAGAGGGCACUGGUGCGAUCAGAGGUGCAACUUUAUCGUUAAAAGCAGGUGCAGUCGGGGUCGGGUGUUAAAAUGCAGGAGCCCUGUAUAGUCCCAAUAUUACAGUUGGGACUCUGAGCUUUUUUACCUUUCAUGACAAGUCCCUUCUGGACUUAAAAAUUGGAGCCUCCCAACUCACAGCCUAUGCCCUGUUCAUGAUGCAACUGCGGAAUAAGUCCUUGCAAAUCAAAGCAUCUACACCAACCGCUCCCUUCAUUUCUAUUCUGGCUCGUUCUGACUGGCCUGCAGAAAUCUGGGGAUGUUGCUGACUGGCUUAGAGGCAGGUUUGUUUUCAAAGACAUAAAGAAGUUGGGUAUCUAAAUGACUUUGGAUAAAUCUGCCCCCAGUUGUCCAUUUUCUGGUGGGAUGUUCCUUUUGGGGCUGAGGGAGGAGGUAGUCUAUGUAGAAACUAAUCACAAAAACUCUAUAUAGUAUGUAUAAAAACUAAUCACAGACGUGCUUGGAAUAAUAGCUCUGAAUUAAAUUUCUGAAUGUCUCAUAUCGUAAAUGAAUGUGCAUGACCAGGGAUAACUUUAUAAGAGUUUUUUAAACUUGAUUUUAGUAUGAAGAUUUGUUUUUUUCCCCCUCCCACUUCCCCUCCCCUCGCUCCUCAACAAGGAUCUUGGAGGGAAAGGGUUGGAGGCGGGGGCCGGUAUUCCAAGAGGUCCCCUUGGUGGGAGGUGUAGGAGCUACCCAAGUACAGUCUGGCUGACACUGUAUAAAACAACAGAAUGCAGCCAUAUCUCAUCACUAACCCGAACGUAUGGCCUAAGAAGAGUACAAGUCCCAGCAUGCUAUGUUCCCCAAUUGCUGGGCUGGAGCAUGGCCUGCUGGGAUCUGUAGUAUCUGCCGCUGUCUCGUCGUGCUGAAGAAGGUGACUCAGCGCUGCAACGUGGAGCUGUGUGACAUGGCUCAGGGCUAUCUUUGGGAUGGUUUUGGAGCCCGAGCUCUGCACAUGAGCACAGAGGGGACCAGGACGGAUCUGGACUAGCCAUGACGGCUUGUUGCAUGGUGCUCGCGUGCAGACUUUAUUUUAAUCCCUCUGGCUGUGGAAGUUGUGUCCUCUACCUGCUCUAUACUUGUAUCUGUUCAUCGCUUCUCCAAUAAAGUUUUUUGAUUUUCAUACCG